rnacentral:tRNA from 1 species
GAGACGAGAGGAGCAGCGGUAACGUCACCGACUGACAAUCGGUCGACCUGGGUUUGAUUCCCGCCGUUGCG